rnacentral:tRNA from 1 species
GUUGUAGUGGCCUAUACUUAAGGUUUAACUCUGAAACAGUUAAGAAGAUUUUUUAAUCCUGCGACA